ACUGCCCCUCACCUGCUCCAACCCCCACAGAGGCUUUACCUGUAUUAUUGUUUAGUGACACAUUUUGGGUGAAGUCUAGAAAUGGAUCGUCGUACCUUCAUCCUGCGUUGCAAGAGCAACAUGGAUGACUGCAUUCGGCGUCUGUUGAUGGAUGACAGCGUCCAGUUCUUGUUUUUCAGUCAACACUGAACAGGUUGGAGAUAAUUCAUAGGAGCAUCCAGUGGGCAAGGGGGAAUUUGCUCAAUGUUCCAGAUGCUGACGGGAUUCUAAAUGACCUAAGCGAAUUGAUAGAAGAAGUCAGAAUGACUGCUCACAGUCAAGGAGGACAAGAUGGAUAUGGUUACCAGGCCCAGCUGGUUUGGAGUGGAGGGAGAGGGCCACCUCACUUUUCCAUCACCAGGCAACAGCUGUCAUUUCUUAUGUCUUGUGGCUUCACUGCACAUCAGAUGGCUGGCGUUCUACAUGUGUCUGUGCAUACCGUUCGACGACGUUUGAG